GUCUACGGCCAUACCACCCACCCUGAGUGCACCUGAUCUCGGAAGCUAAGCAGGGUCAGGCCUGGUUAGUACUUGGAUGGGAGAAAUGCCAGAGACCUGAGGGCU
rnacentral:rRNA from 1 species